GACCCGACCGCUAUCGGGGUGGGGCUUAGCCAUGCGAGUCAAGCGCCCCAGGGACCCGCUGGGGUGCGGCGCACGGCUCAGUAACACGUGGCCAACCUACCCUCGGGAGGGGGAUAACCCCGGGAAACUGGGGCUAAUCCCCCAUAGGGGAAGGGUGCUGGAAGGCCCCCUCCCCGAAAAGAGCCACGUCCGGUACCCGGCGCGGCUCGCCCGAGGAUGGGGCUACGGCCCAUCAUGGUAGCUGGCGGGGUAACGGCCCGCCAGGCCGAAGACGGGUGGGGGCCGUGAGAGCGGGAGCCCCGAGAUGGGCACUGAGACAAGGGCCCAGGCCCUAUGGGGUGCAGCAGGCUCGAAUACUCCGCAAUGCGGUAACCCGCGACGGGGCCACCCCGAGUGCCGCCCGAUGAGGGCGGCUUUUCCCCCGUGUAAGUAGCUGGGGGAAUAAGCGGGGGGCAAGUCUGGUGUCAGCCGCCGCGGUAAUACCAGCUCCGCGAGUGGUCGGGGUGUUUACUGGGCCUAAAGCGCCCGUAGCCGGCCCGGUAAGUCACCCCUGAAAUCCAUGGGCUCAACCCAUGGGCCGGGGGUGAUACUGCCGGGCUUGGGGGUGGGAGAGGCCGAGGGUACUCCCGGGGUAGGGGCGAAAUCCGAUAAUCCCGGGAGGACCACCAGUGGCGGAAGCGCUCGGCUGGAACACGCCCGACGGUGAGGGGCGAAAGCUGGGGGAGCAAAGGGGAUUAGAUACCCCUGUAGUCCCAGCUGUAAACGAUGCGGGCUAGCUGUUGGGUGGGCUUAGUGCCCGCCCAGUGGCGUAGGGAAGCCGUUAAGCCCGCCGCCUGGGGAGUACGGCCGCAAGGCUGAAACUUAAAGGAAUUGGCGGGGGGGCACCACAAGGGGUGAAGCUUGCGGCUUAAUUGGAGUCAACGCCGGAAACCUCACCCGGGGCGACAGCAGGAUGAAGGCCAGGCUAACGACCUUGCCGGACGAGCUGAGAGGAGGUGCAUGGCCGUCGCCAGCUCGUGCCGUGAGGUGUCCAGUUAAGUCUGGCAACGAGCGCGACCCCCGCUCCCUGUUGCUACCCUACCCUUCGGGGUGGGGGGCACACAGGGAGGACUGCCGGCGUAAGCCGGAGGAAGGAGGGGGCCACGGCAGGUCAGUAUGCCCCGAAACCCCGGGGCUGCACGCGAGCUGCAAUGGCGGGGACAGCGGGUUCCGACCCCGAAAGGGGGAGGCAAUCCCGUAAACCCCGCCCCAGUAGGAAUCGAGGGCUGUAACUCGCCCUCGUGAACGUGGAAUCCCUAGUAACCGCGUGUCACCAACGCGCGGUGAAUACGUCCCUGCCCCUUGCACACACCGCCCGUCGCGCCACCCGAGGGGAUCCUUAACGAGGCCCCCUGGGUAACUGGGGGGUCGAGUUGGGGGUCCCAAGGGGGGCGAAGUCGUAACAAGGUGGCCGUAGGGGAACCUG
rnacentral:rRNA from 1 species